CCUGGGGCGCGGCAGGACGCGGGGCAGCCUUGCGCGAAGGGGCGUUUUCGUGGAGCCACCUGCCGCGCCACGCUCCAGUCCCGUCACUUGUGCUCGCGAGCGCCGGUGCGCGCAGGUGCGGGCGGGGUUGUGGGGACGCCGGGAGGGCGGCGCGGUACUUUCCAGAAGGUUCCGCACCGGAAGCGCCUGCCGAGGCCGGAGGCUGGGUGCAGGGGCGGAGACGCGGAGAACUUGGGAUCCUGGUUUAAGGGAGCUGGGAAGCUGCCGCAGGGGGACCAGCGCUCCCUGGGUGGACCGACCCCACCGCUUACCCAUUGCUGGACGCCUGCGUGCACCGACCCCACCGCUUACCCAUUGCUGGACGCUUGCCCUGUUGCCAUCUCCUCGCUAGCGUGAACAGUGCUGCGUGCAGAUCUCUCUUUCAUUGAUUGUUUUGCGUCUGUACCCAGAAGUGGGAUUGCUGGACCAUCUCUGCCCAUUUUAAAAUUGGGAAAUGACAUGAUCUGAUUUAAGCUAUUUAAAAAUCACUUGGGCCUGGGCUCGGUGGCUCACGCGUGUAAUCACAACACUUUGGGAAGCCGAGACAGGCGGAUCACCUGAGGUCAGAAGUUUGAGACCAGCCUGGCCAACAUGGUGAAACCCGGUCUCUACUAAAAAUACAAAAAUUAGCCGGGCACGGUGGCUCCAGCCUGUAAUACCAGCUACUCAGGAGGCUGAGGCAGGAGAGUUGCUUGAACCCAGGAAGCGGAGGUUGCAGUGAGCUGAGAUUGCCUCACUGCACUCCAGCCUGGGCAACAGAGUGAAACAAUGUCUCAAAAAAAUAAAAAUAAAAAAACUGAAUGGUUCCACAGAAAUACUGAGACUUCUGCUUAAACAGGCUUUCUUGAACCUGUACGCUUCCAGUUGGGUCUGCUGCUUCCAGAAAUGAGGUCUCGCUGUGUUGCCCAGGCUGGUCUCAAAUUCCUGGCCUCAAGCAAUCUUCCUGCCUCGGCCUCCCAAAGUACUGGGAUGACAGGCAUGAGCCACCACGACCAGAUGCAUGGUAAAUUUUGUGUUUUAUGUAUCGUACCACACACACGAAAAUUUAAAAAACAUCUGGCUAUGCAUGUCUUUCAAAGCAACAGCAAUUGUUCUGAGAGAUUAAAGUCACCAUUGAAGAACCUGCAUUAUCGUUUAUUGUGAUCCUAAUUCGGU
rnacentral:lncRNA from 1 species